rnacentral:lncRNA from 1 species
CUUUUCAGAAAGGUGAGCUACAGAAUAAUUUUAUUCUAAAUUGAUGUCAUUAGAUUCUAGAGUCUGCUGUCAUCACAUUCUAUGGUAUUGUCAGGUUAAUUCCAUGUGCAGCAUGCGUUUUUAGUCUUCUGGCCUUUUCUACCUACACAGGGCAUUAUAUGGCUUAAGGACAAUGGCCUAGAAGGAAAGGGAAGACUUACUUUGGAUUAAACUCAGUAUGGGAAAAUGCUUAAGCCACUGCAAAGAGGACAAGAGCUUCCAGUCAGAAUGUUUUGAAGACCAAGUUGCUUCAGACCCUCGGCAUCAUGGAGUCUCUUCUAUGUCACAGCCAAAUAUAUCUCUUGGUUUUAGAACAUCUCAUCCUUCUGCAACAUACACAGUCAAUUCACCCAAAAGAAGUAGAAAAUUAUCUUCUUCAUUAAGUCAAUCUACUAGUUCAUAUUUCUCUGCAAGAAGUCAAUCUUUAUUUCUAGAUUUCACAAAAGCAAGUCUUUCCUUUACUGGUGUCAAAGUAGAGCUAACUUUGAUUCUCAAGAAGACACCAGCGUCAGUGAUUUUAAAUCUUAUUCAGACUAUUUUGGUGCCUUUAGAUACCAAAGACACUUUUCUUCCUGUAAACUAAGUAUAGUUUCCUGUAAUAGGAGUGCCACUUUAUUUGAUUCUCUGCCAAAUAAUCAAGACAUAUUUAAUCCAAAUGAAAUAGAAAUCUUUUCUAGAAGUCAGAGCUUUAUCCCAUCAGUGCAUGAACCUACCUCAGGCAUUGUUGAAGAGGAAAGAUUUGCUGUCUUCUCUCAAGAUGAAGACAAACCUUCACCUACUGAAAUUCCUAAAAUAAGGUCACCUCAGACUUUCCUCCUAGUUAGAAGGGCAGCUUUGUCAAAUGAGAAGUUUUCCCACCAAGUACACUCAAAUCUGUAGAAAUCACUGCUCACUUCUCUUGGGAGUCCCCUCUCCUCACUAAACUUCACUCCAUUUUUGGGAAAAGAUUCCUAUGUUGAAGUUUAAAUUGCUGUAAACUUGAAAGCUGGUUUAUUGAUAUUAUUGAAAUAAUGGAUGUGAAAGAUGAUUUAUUUCAUCUGCUUCAGGCCUUUUUCAGGUUGCUGCUUAGAAAUUGUCUAGUCCCAAAUUUCUAAGUACAUUAUUGUAAUACUUUUGUGGUCUGAGAAUAACACCAA